ACGCGAUGACAAUGACUUUGGUUCAUAGCGUGAAGGGCGAUUACUUUUUGAUUAGCCUAAUUAGAUCUAUGUAAUUAAGUUUAAGUUGUUAGUUAGUUUUAUUAUGUAUGUUUAUUUCUAUGUUUUUGGAUAUUAAAAGUAUACACCGUGGGCCAAUUAAACCCGACAAAUUUCAAAGGUGUAUUCUUGACCGCAUUUAGAGACUGAAAUGUCAUACAAUGUUUUAUGAAAUCGGUCUUGUUUUAGUGACAAUGACAAUUUCUGUGAAAAUUUGUUUAUUUUAUAACUUAGUCAAAAACGCCUUUUUAGCUGUGACGCUGCCACUAUGUGACUUGGUUUAGACAUACCUACUGACAGAUAUUAAAGUUUUAAAGUAAACUCGCAAUUUUCGUCUGUAAAUAUAAAAAAAACUUUACUUAAGUAUUCGUUGUAAUGAUUUUUUUCACCAAGGUGUAAAAAAAAUUACGUGUCGUGUGCAGAAAACGCAAAAGGAAAUUUAUUUUUCGGCAAAAAAAAAUUUUUUUUGGCAAAUUUGGCCAAAACUCAUAUAACAUUUAUUGCUCCUUCUGACCUCAGGAAUGCGUGGUUAAAAUCUGUCGGGUUUAAUUGGCUCACGGUGUAUAUAUUUGGGAUAUUAAUUUACUGCUUCUUUAGGUACCCACAAAUAGUCAUACUUUUAUAUGAAUAAUACUAAAAAAUGAGAUUAAUAAUAAUGUAAUUAAAUAAGUUUCAUUAAGACCCUGUGUGUGCUGGUAGGUACGGUAAAUCCAUCCAAUAAUAGUGCCAAAGACUUUCGGCCCUUUUUCGAAGAGUGAGAUACGAUAACGAUAAGUUUUGGUUUAGAUAAAUUCUCAUUUAGAUAUCGUUUGUAUGUCGUAUAAUUGACAAAAGCAGCUCGAUUCGGGCAACCAAUGUCACUUUGACGUUAGAAAUAUCGUAAAUAGAUCUUAUUGGGAUCACAGCGGAUUCGAAAUAAGCGUCAAUUUUGACAUGUCGUUUAGUUAUCGAUCUUUCCAAGAUCUUAAACGUGUCUUAAUCAUUCUUAAAAUCGGGCCGUUGAAAUUUGAAUAUCUUCUUUCAGGUGUAAAUAUUAAUUUUUUAAACGAAUAAUAAAUAAAGAAAUAUUGGAAAUUUUUUUUUUUCUUACACAAAUUUACUAAACCCCACAGGAAGCUAAAAACGUGUGUAUUGUGGGUACGCUGUGGGUAUCUGGGUAAUAUAUAUUCACCCGUAAAUUAUUGCAGGUGAAAAAAACCUGUAUUAAGGUGCGACCAGACCGCAGCUUAAAAAACGGUCACGAUACGGAAUCGCAGUGACGCGUCGUAUGCGUACCUUUUUUGACGCAUGCUCCCCACACCGCUGGUUCAAAUACGCUGACGCACCGUAAAUUGAUCUGCGUAAAAAUCGCAAAAAAUAUUACACGGAGAUCUUAUGGCAGACACCACACCGGUGACGUAAAAGACGCAACUGUUUUGUAAA